GUGGGGAAUAUUGGACAAUGGGCGGAAGCCUGAUCCAGCCAUGCCGCGUGUGUGAAGAAGGCCUUUUGGUUGUAAAGCACUUUAAGCGAGGAGGAGGAGCUCUAGGUUAAUACCCUAGAAGCUUGGACGUUACUCGCAGAAUAAGCACCGGCUAACUCUGUGCCAGCAGCCGCGGUAAUACAGAGGGUGCAAGCGUUAAUCGGAUUUACUGGGCGUAAAGCGCGCGUAGGCGGCUAAUUAAGUCAAAUGUGAAAUCCCCGAGCUUAACUUGGGAAUUGCAUUCGAUACUGGUUAGCUAGAGUGUGGGAGAGGAUGGUAGAAUUCCAGGUGUAGCGGUGAAAUGCGUAGAGAUCUGGAGGAAUACCGAUGGCGAAGGCAGCCAUCUGGCCUAACACUGACGCUGAGGUGCGAAAGCAUGGGGAGCAAACAGGAUUAGAAACCCCAGUAGUCC
rnacentral:rRNA from 1 species